UGUAUGUACCUGAAUGCCUGACUAAAGCUUAUGAAGUCAAAACAUCCAAAAUGAAUUUGUGACUUUGCAAAAUGCCUUUAGAAGUCAUGACACUUUCACGGAGGCAGGCAUCAUUCAUUCUGUACAAAAGGUUUUCAGGAUCUCUAUAGACAGAGGAAGAUGUGAAAGCUGUAGAAGAAGUCAUAAUGGAGAAAGCAGAACUUGGGGGUUGGCUGAAGAUCUUUAGGAGUUUCCAGUGAAAUACCAAGAGGAGCAGGUUGCAUUCAAGCAGUUCAAGGCUCUCAAGACAUGGCAGUGAACAACAGAGAAAAUACCCUGGACCUAAUGUUUGAAUUCCAGAAAUGAAAUCCAAAGGAAAAUAAUAGGUAAACCAACAUGUAAUCUAACAAGGAUAAAACAUCUGUCACUGCAGAAGAGGGAAAAGAAGAAAUGGGAGAGCCCUGAGAGAGGA